rnacentral:ncRNA from 1 species
UAAUUCGUGGAAAGAUUUGGAGGAUUGCAACCACAGGAAAAAAUGCUAAGCACAAUUU